AGCCGCCCAAGGUAUGCCGAUGAUUGGGUUGAAGUCGUAACAAGGUAGCCGUAGGGGAACCGUGCGGCUGGACUCACCUCCCUUUCUAGGAGAGAAGGGUCCUGGAUGAAGCGCUCCUAUUUAGUCUUGUGAAGGAUCCGAGUGGAAGCCGGGACCGGAGAGAUACCGGGCCUGUAGCUCAGAUGGUGAGAGCGCACGCCUGAUAAGCGUGAGGUCGAUAGUUCGAAUCUAUCCAGGCCCACCAUCUGCGGGGAUGUAGC
rnacentral:rRNA from 1 species